rnacentral:rRNA from 1 species
GUCUCCUGCCAUACCUCCCUGGACCCCUGCAGUCGUGUGAUCUUGGAAGCUGAGUGGAUCAGGGCUGGUAGGUACUUGGAUCAGAGAAAUGCAAGAAGCUCGAAGUC